UACAUGCUAAAAACCUCGACUUCGGAAGGGGUGUAUUUAUUAGAUAAAAAACCAAUGCCCUUCGGGGCUCCUUGGUGAUUCAUAAUAACUUAACGAAUCGCAUGGCCUUGUGCCGGCGAUGGUUCAUUCAAAUUUCUGCCCUAUCAACUUUCGAUGGUAGGAUAGUGGCCUACCAUGGUUUCAACGGGUAACGGGGAAUUAGGGUUCUAUUCCGGAGAGGGAGCCUGAGAAACGGCUGCCACAUCCAAGGAAGGCAGCAGGCGCGCAAAUUACCCAAUCCCGACACGGGGAGGUAGUGACAAUAAAUACUGAUACAGGGCUCUUUUGGGUCUUGUAAUUGGAAUGAGUACAAUUUAAAUCCCUUAACGAGGAACAAUUGGAGGGCAAGUCUGGUGCCAGCAGCCGCGGUAAUUCCAGCUCCAAUAGCGUAUAUUAAAGUUGUUGCAGUUAAAAAGCUCGUAGUUGAACCUUGAGCCUGGCUGGCCGGUCCGCCUCACCGCGUGCACUGGUCCGGCCGGGUUUUUCCUUCUGGGGAGCCGCAUGCCCUUCACUGGGUGUGUCGGGGAACCAGGACUUUUACUUUGAAAAAAUUAGAGUGUUCAAAGCAGGCCUAUGCUCGAAUACAUUAGCAUGGAAUAAUAGAAUAGGACGUGUGGUUCUAUUUUGUUGGUUUCUAGGACCGCCGUAAUGAUUAAUAGGGAUAGUCGGGGGCAUCAGUAUUCAAUUGUCAGAGGUGAAAUUCUUGGAUUUAUUGAAGACUAACUACUGCGAAAGCAUUUGCCAAGGAUGUUUUCAUUAAUCAGUGAACGAAAGUUAUGGGAUCGAAGACGAUCAGAUACCGUCGUAGUCUUAACCAUAAACUAUGCCCGACUAGGGAUCGGGCGAUGUU
rnacentral:rRNA from 1 species